UACGUAGGGUCCGAGCGUUGUCCGGAUUUAUUGGGCGGAAAGAGCUCGUAGGCGGUUCCGUAAGUCAGAUGUGAAAUCUCAGGGCUCAACCCGGAGACGCCAUCUGAUACUGCGGUGACUGGAGUCUGGUAGGGGAACACGGAAUUCCUGGUGUAGCGGUGAAAUGCGCAGAUAUCAGGAAGAACACCAGUGGCGAAGGCGGCUCACUGGCCCGGUACUGACGCUGAGGUGCGAAAGCGUGGGGAGCAAACAGG
rnacentral:rRNA from 1 species